ACGAACGCUGGCGGCGUGCUUCACACAUGCAAGUCGAACGGAAAGGCCCUGCUUGCAGGGUACUCGCGUGGCGAACGGGUGAGUAACACGUGGGUGAUCUGCCCUGCACUUCGGGAUAAGCCUGGGAAACUGGGUCUAAUACCGGAUAGGAGCCAUUUUUAGUGUGAUGGUUGGAAAGUUUUUUCGGUGUAGGAUGAGCUCGCGGCCUAUCAGCUUGUUGGUGGGGUAAUGGCCUACCAAGGCGGCGACGGGUAGCCGGCCUGAGAGGGUGGACGGCCACAUUGGGACUGAGAUACGGCCCAGACGCCUACGGGAGGCAGCAGUGGGGAAUAUUGCACAAUGGGCGCAAGCCUGAUGCAGCGACGCCGCGGGGGGGAUGACGGCCUUCGGGUUGUAAACUCCUUUCGCUAGGGACGAAGCUUUUUGUGACGGUACCUAGAUAAGAAGCACCGGCUAACUACGUG
rnacentral:rRNA from 1 species